AGUGAAAGCAAUUUGGGAACCGACUUUGGAUCCCCGGUUAGCCCCUCCCCAAGUCACUGGGUGGCCUUUGGCCAUUACUUAGACUUCCUAAUAGUUUGUAUCCUCAUCUAAACUGAGAAAAGCCAGGGUCUGGGAAUGACAUCUGACUGUCACCGGCUGGCUGGGCCUGACCCCCUGGAGCUCCAGCCAGGAUCAUAGCGCUGGAAUAACAGUCUGGAGCGCCGACUCGCAGGCCUGGUUGACUCAUACAGAGAUGACUUGGCAGACAGUCAUGAGAUGGUGCUUCCAGCUCAGCCACUGACCUGCUGUCCAGCAGAGGAAGCAGCUGGGGAAGCACCGUCGUAUCCAGGAGAAUUUUGUUCAAUAGUAAGUACCGAGAGUCAGCAAGAUGGCUCAGCGAGUUAAGGCGCCUGCCACCAAGCCUGAAGACCUGAGUUGCAUACCUCGGACCUGCAUGGCAAGAGAGAACUAGGUCCUGCAAGUUGUCCUCUGACCUCCACACACAUGCUGUAGCAUGUGCAUGUGUGCACAUGCAGUAAACAAACAAAUAAAUGUAAUUUAAAAAAUAACGGGGGGCUGGAGAGAUGGCUCAGAGGUUAAGAGCACUGGCUGUUCUUCCAAAGGUCCUGAGUUCAAUUCCCAGAAACCACAUGGUGACUCAUAACCAUCUAUAAUGAGAUCUAGUGCUCUUUCUGCCCUACAGGCAUACAAGCAGUCUGAAGACUGUAUAAAUAAUAAAUAAAUCUUUGCCAGGUGGUGGUGGCUCACACCUUUAAUCCCAGCACUCACGAGGCAGAGGCAGGCAGAUGUUUGUGAGUUCAAGGUCAUCGUGGUCUACAAGUUCCAGGACAGCCAGAGCUCCACAGAGAAACCCUGUCUCAAAAACCAAAUGAUAAUAAUUAUAAUUGGUACUGAGAAAAACUUAGUUCUUCUUUUUAAAACCCACAGAUUUCUCUAAUCAAAAGAAAUGUGUAUCCUGACUGUUUUCAUCUGGGCCAUCAAAACCCUUCAGAGCUAGCAUUAGGCUGUCUGGAGCAAGCAGGCUGAACAUCUGAUUUCUAAUUUUUUUUUCUUCCAGUGUUUUCCUGUUUUAUUCAUAUUCCAUUGGUUUGGUUUCAUUGUCUGGAGUUUUCUUUUUUCUUUUCUUUUCCUUAUUUUUUUUUUCGGUUAGGCCACAACAAAUUCUUUUUAAAACUACUUUGUGAUAUAAAUAAAUUGCACAUUCUAUUCGAGUGACGAGUAGAGUAGCAGAUGGUUUGUGAAUUGGGCAAAAUGGGGAAGAAAAGGAAUAAAUGAGGACUCUCAACACCAUUUAAGAUAAAUAACUCUGUUUGCUUGUUCUGGGUAGUUUUAACUGACAAUUUGACACAACCAAUAAUCACUUGAGAAGAGCGUCUCAAAUGAAGAAAUAUCUAGAUCAGCUUGGCUGGCAGGGUGAGGUGGGGGUGGGGCGGAUCUUGAUUGUGAACUGACAAAGAAAGACACAGGCCAGGGUGAGCAGUAUCAUUCCCUGAGUAGGGGACCAAGAACGGUGUAAGAAAGGAGAAAACAAGCUGAGAGCAAGCAAGCAAAGACGUGUUCGUUUUCUCUUUGCUCUUGAGUAUAGAUGUGAUGUGACUAGCUGCUUGGAUCCUUGCCUUGACUUUACUCAAGUGAUGGAUGGACUAUGACCUGAGAUUGAAAGCCAAAUAAACUCUUUCUC